UGCUAUCGAGGUUCGACUAAGCCAUGCGAGUCGAAUGUAGCAUACAUGGCGUACUGCUCAGUAACACGUGGACAACCUACCCUCCGGACGGGUAUAAACCCGGGAAACUGGGUAUAAUCCCCGAUAGAUCUCGGUCGCUGGAAUGCCCCGAGAUCGAAAGCUCCGGCGCCAGAGGAUGGGUCUGCGGCCUAUCAGGUAGUAGUGGGUGUAGCGUACCUACUAGCCUACGACGGGUACGGGUUGUGAGAGCAAGAGCCCGGAGAUGGAUUCUGAGACACGAAUCCAGGCCCUACGGGGUGCAGCAGGCGCGAAAACUUUACAAUGCCGGCAACGGCGAUAAGGGGACCUCGAGUGCCAGGUUACAAAUCUGGCUGUCGUGAUGCCUAAAAAGCAUUGCAUAGCAAGGGCCGGGCAAGACCGGUGCCAGCCGCCGCGGUAACACCGGCGGCUCGAGUGGUAACCGUUAUUAUUGGGUCUAAAGGGUCUGUAGCCGGCCGGAUAAGUCUCUUGAGAAAUCCAGCAGCUCAACUGUUGGGCUUUCAGGAGAUACUGUUCGGCUCGAGGCCGGGAGAGGUGAGAGGUACUUCAGGGGUAGGGGUGAAAUCUUGUAAUCCUUGAAGGACCACCAGUGGCGAAGGCGUCUCACCAGAACGGACCUGACGGCAAGGGACGAAAGCUAGGGGCACGAACCGGAUUAGAUACCCGGGUAGUCCUAGCCGUAAACGAUACUCGCUAGGUGUCGGCCACGGUGCGACCGUUGUCGGUGCCGUAGGGAAGCCGUGAAGCGAGCCACCUGGGAAGUACGGCCGCAAGGCUGAAACUU
rnacentral:rRNA from 1 species